rnacentral:telomerase_RNA from 1 species
CGUUGAAACGGAUUUACGAGUGGCGAAGAUCGCUGCUAAGGCCAAAUCUUCACCGUUGAAACCUAACCCUAAUCUAGUUUUGUAAGACUUUUUCUCUCUGUUGCGUUUUUAGUCACUGUGAUAUUGUGUUAUAUAUCACAAUGAUGAAAGAAAAUUUGUAAUUUUCUAUAUUCUUCUGGUUUUCUCGCCCAGUACCAGAUGAAAAAAUGCGUAGUCUUCGUUAAGACCAGAGAGAGAGAGAGAGAGAGGUAUUCUCGGUAAGUCCGUUUCUUUUUUUUGAUAUUGUACAAGGUAACCUGAUUUUUU